rnacentral:lncRNA from 1 species
AUUAUCAAACUGAUCUCGUUCGUAGCUGAUGUCACGUGACUUUAUAGCAAAUCAUUUCACAUUUACGAAGUGUUCUUCAUAACUAUAGUUAGUACAGAAAGUCUCUGCUUAUACAAAUCAGUCCGCCCGUUCGGCUGUCUCCGCACGGUAGUUAUUUAAAACCAUUACAUUGCUAGCAUUUUAAAACUCAUGUGAUAUAAAUUUUGGAAAUAUUGAU